GACAGAGGCCCCAAGCGUUAGGCGGAAUCACUGGGCUUAAAGCGUGUGUAGGCGGAUUUCUAAGUGCCUUGUGAAAUCCCACGGCUCAACCGUGGAACUGCUGGGCAUACUGGGAGUCUUGGGCCAUUCAGGGGCAACUGGAACAAGCGGUGGAGCGGUGAAAUGCGUAGAUAUCGCUUGGAACGCCGAAGGUGAAAACAGGUUGCUGGGGAUGUGCCGACGCUGAGACACGAAAGCCAGGGGAGCAAACGGG
rnacentral:rRNA from 1 species